GAUGAACGCUGGCGGCGUGCUUAACACACGCAAGUCGAACGGAACUACUCCAAUGAGAGUCUUCGGAAAGGAUUUGGUUUAGUUUAGUGGCGGACGGGUGAGUAACGCGUGGGUAACCUGCCCUAUACAGGGGGAUAACAGUUGGAAACGACUGUUAAUACCGCAUAAGCGCACAGGAGCGCAUGCUCCGGUGUGAAAAACUCCGGUGGUAUAGGAUGGACCCGCGUCUGAUUAGCUGGUUGGCGGGGUAACGGCCCACCAAGGCGACGAUCAGUAGCCGGCCUGAGAGGGUGAACGGCCACAUUGGGACUGAGACACGGCCCAAACUCCUACGGGAGGCAGCAGUGGGGAAUAUUGCACAAUGGGGGAAACCCUGAUGCAGCGACGCCGCGUGAGCGAAGAAGUAUCUCGGUAUGUAAAGCUCUAUCAGCAGGGAAGAAAAUGACGGUACCUGACUAAGAAGCCCCGGCUAACUACGUG
rnacentral:rRNA from 1 species